UAUAAAUAAGUUAGUUAUUUUUAGGAAAUAUUAGAAAUCGAAACUAAUUAGAUUUCUUCUCUCUCAUUUUUUUUUUCUCCAAAACCCUAAUCCUUAAAUUGUAUGAAUAUUCAGAAACAAAAAUUCAAAUUGUAUUACUCUGUUUAAUUUUAUUUCAAUCAGGGAAUUGAUUUUUUUGUGAAACAGAGUUUAUUGGAGCUGUUUCAUGUGAGUAAUGGACGUAAAUAUGUAAGUGGAGGCGACAACAGAUGCACCAGUAACCGAAAAAAAAGCUGAGGCCUUUGUUCCGCCAACUUUACUCAUGGAUUCUGACCAAGAGAGUAUAGGAAGACGAGAUGGAGAUACCACAUCAAAUGAAAGUGUAACAAGAUCUUCUAAGACUUCAGAAUAUUCCCCUUCCGUCUCGACUACCUCGUCAGAUGGUUCUUCGGAUGAUUACAUCCAAGUGGUUCCAAAAAUAAUAUUCACCUCAGCCUCAUCAGGUGUAGCAUCUUCCAAAUCUCAUUCUGAUGCAAAACUUCUAUCUCAAAGGGUUACAUGUAAUCAAUUGAAUGAAUCCUCGAAAACGACAUCUACAAGUUCCACCUCACAGGUUUCAGAUGUCACUAAUGAAUCUGAAUUCUCGACGAUAUCACAAUCUCCUUCUAUACAGGUGAUGGAACGGAAGGCAGGUUUUGAUCCCAAUAGAAUUCCCUCAUCCGUUUUUGGGAGUAAGGCUUCAUCCUCUAAGGUUUGGAGCGCUGCUUCUAUCGAAUCAUUGUUCAGUAUACACAGUCCUGGAAGUGGUAGUUCUGCAAGGAAUGAUAUUGCGAUGACUGAUGGAGAUUUGAAAAGGGACAGAAAACGAGACAAUGGUGCAGAAGUAGACAAAAAUGAAAAAAACAAUAAGUCUGAGCUAACGAGGUUUAGGCAGACUUUGCCAAUUACAAAAGGAGGAGAAUAUAAGAAAAAGACGUUUGAUAAAGAAAGGAAAGUAAAUGUCGUAAACAAACCAUCAGCAACAGGAAGUUCAGAUGAAGCAACAAAGAGAAUAGUCUGUUUUAGAGAGGAAAUGAAACUAGGGGAGAGCAUAAUCCGUUCUGCUGCACUUGGCUACCCCGAUGGAAAUGUAUGCUUUAGGGGCAACGUUGUUCGCCCUUCUGAUGGAAAUGGCACGUGUUCUGCCGCUCCUAUGGAAAAGAAGUCUUCUUGGUGGUCAUGUUGUUCUUGUAGUUGUUUGUCAAGCUGCUCGUUGAAGUGCUCAGGUUGCUCCUGUAAGUGGUUAAGCUGCUUAAGUUGCGCUUGUAAGUGGCCAAGUUGCUCUUUUAAGUGGUUAAGCUGUUCGAGUUGCUCUUUUAAGUGGCCAAGCUGCUCAAGUUGCUCUUGUAAGUGGUUAAGCUGCUCGAGUUGCUCUUUUAAGUGGCCAAGCUGCUCCUGUAAGUGGUUUAGCUGCUCAAGUUGCUCUUGUAAGUGGCCAAGCUGUUCGAGCUGGUCUUGUGAGUGGUUAAGCUGCUCGAGUUGCUCUUUUAAGUGUCCAACCUUCUCAAGUUGCUCUUGUAAGUGGCCAAGCAUGCCUGUUGGCUGCUGCAAAUGGCCGAGUUGCAAAUGCAAGUGUUUAACCUCGCUGCGCUGCUGCUGCUAAUAUCCAAUCUAACAUAGCAAUUACAAGUGCCUGACCUGGAAAAGCUCUGUACUGCACUAUAGCCGCGCAUUCUACUUUGAGGGAACUAUUACAUGAUCCCAUCUUUCCAGUUUGAAGGAUGAGGAAAAGGAUAACCUAAGCACCAUUAUAACCCAUUCAACCUCGAUCUCUUGGUUCGUGUGGUUCGUGCCCUUCUUUCAACCGCGCUCUAGAUGUUGCUGAGAAUGUGAAUGCUUAAUAUCAUGUAGCCCCUCCUUCUACGUCCGAUUCAUUCAUUAAAUCUGCUAGCAUGCUGUAGAAUGUGCUCUAGUACUCAAGGAUUAAACAAUAUCCAAUAUUUUGAUACUUUUAGUGUCUGUAUAUAGGCAAGUGAGGAGGUUUACUUAGUUCAUUUCUUUCCCUUUUCAAGUUGGGACAAGAUAUGGUUGCAAGGGAGAACAUAGAGAGGUAGUGCAAUCUUUUCUUUUGCACUAAUGCUAGUAUAUUAGGAGUUUAAAUGACACAAUUUGUAUUUCCACUCAUGUUAUAAGUUUUUUUAUUUACCAAAUAACAAGUUCCUUUUAUAUAUAUAUAUAAUUUGUAGCUGAUUGGAGAAAAAAUGUCUAUACGUAAUUGAUCAUGAUGAAAAGGAAA